rnacentral:ncRNA from 2 species
UAUAUAGUCGGGGGCAAAGGUCCGCGGUGCAGGGAAGCCGGUGUGAGUCCGGCACGGUCCCGCCACUGUGACCGGGGAGCGCGCCGUCGAACGACACGCCACUGACGAGCACCAGGUCGGGAAGGCGGACGGCGCGCGCAGAUCCGGGAGUCAGGAUACCGGCCGCGGAACGUUCCGUGUU